UUCCCAACAUCCAGAGUCCUCCCCCCCCUGAUCUACCCAACAUCAGACAACCAACCUUCAUCAAGAUGCGUCAUACUCCUAAAUCUACCACCAUAACAUUCUGUUAGUGAAGGACAUGGACAGGGUGUUUGUUUACUAUGUUGGCAUGCUGCUGGAUGGAACCCUGUUUCACUCUAGCCUCGAACAAGGAAAGAAGUUAGGGACCGGGACCAUCACUAAGGGACCGGGAUACGCCGAGCCUAAUGAAGGAGCUGCCGUAGAAGGUAAAGGACCCAAAAUGGACAAGACAGUAACUGCAACUGCAGCAACCUACCACAAGAUGGCAGGCUACCCCUUAUGAAAAG